rnacentral:rRNA from 1 species
AUUGAACGCUGGCGGCAGGCCUAACACAUGCAAGUCGCGCGGAGCGGCGGACGGGUGAGUAAUGCCUAGGAAUAUGCAUGGUAGUGGGGGAUAACGUCAGGAAACGGGCGCUAAUACCGCAUCCUAUCAGAUGAGCCUAGGGAGGAUUAGCUAGGUGGUGGGGGAAAGGCCUACCAAGGCGACGAUCCGUAACUGGUCUGAGAGGAUGAUCAGUCACACGGGCACUGAGAAAAGGCCCAGAUGCCUACGGUAGGCAGCAGGGGGGAAUAUGUGCCAAUGGGCGAUAGCCUGAUCCAGCCAUGCCGCGUGUGUGAAGAAGGUCUUCGGAUUGUAAAGCUCUUUAAUUUGGGAGGCGUUACCAACAGAAUAAGCACCGGCUAACUUCGUGCCAGCAGCCGCGGUAAUUC